UCUCAGAGGGAUAAUCAAAUUAAUAACAUACGGAAUGUCUAGUUUCGUCAGGGUUCCCCAGAAAACAAGGCCUGAGGCAAAAGUUUGUGUACUACUGCUUUAUUUGGGAGUGCAAAUCAGUGUGAGGGAGAUGGACUUAAAAAGAGAAAAACUUCAUACAAAAUAAUGAAGCUUGUAUUUUAUUGUCCAGGGUUUUGGCCUUGAAUUUUGUAUUCCAGAGAUCCCUGGGAAUUAUCUAGACAAGACAGAUGCUGUAAAGGCAUCAAAAUAUAGACAGAAUGGCAGAUUGCUAGUGUUUGAUCCAAAGGAAAGAGUGACGAUUGAACCCAGUGCAACAAUGUCAGAGUAAGAUGUCCCUGGUUGUGCAGCUGAUCUAUCAUAUGCCUUUUAAGCAAUUAGAACUAGAUAAUGCAAUCAUUUGUCACCCAAUUAAAUUUGAAAGGCCAGAAAUGCAUGGAUUAGCACUUUAGCUUUUGCUUCAGUCAAAGCAAUUGUCCUAGAUAAAAGGGCAUUUAAAAUGAAAAAUGAAUUUAGAUAAAAAUGUAGAGGCAUAGAUAAUAUUCACUUCUACUUUCUAAAUGCUUAACCACCAAGUAUUCUGUAUUUUAUUUAUAUCAUUUUCAUUACUCAUUCCUGUUUCCCUUUGAUACUUGUUUAUUUCUUUCAGAAUAUCUCUUUAAAUGAAUAUAUACUUUAAAACUAAACAAAUUCUUUAUUUACUGAGAUGAAUCGUUAUUACUAAAUAAGGAAAAUAAUCACCCAACUAGUUGAAGAGAUUGGUGUUAAAAAGAAUCAGUCCAGUUUUAAUUUAGUAGCUAAAUAUUAAGUACCCGCUUUGUUCAAGGGAUUGAUUCUGAUAAUUCAUUAAAGCCCUUCUUGAUAUGAUCAUCUCCUCCCCCUGAAAAAAAUAUUCUAUUAUUUAUUCUAUGAAAAAUUACACUUUGAAAGUUGAUCAUAAAACACAUAGAGAUCAAUUAUUGACAGAUUGGUAGGCACCAUUCUAGUGGGAUUCUAUUCAAAUUGAUAUUAUUUUGGUUUAUUCUGAAUAUUAUUGGCUGGGAAAAAUUCUACAUUAUGUAUGUUCAUUUUUAUACUGUCAAAGCUAAAAAUUAAAAUUAGAAUCUAACUUGGUUUUUGUUGUAAAUUAUAUAUUAAAUACAUAUUUUUAUAUUAAAGAGAAAGUAAUGUAUAACAGAUCAAUGACAGAGAAUGUUUAUUUCAGAUUAAAUGUUAUAGAAACCAGAAAAAGUAAAUACCUUGUUAAGUAUAUUAAUCUAUAUGUAAAUAUAUAUAUCCUAUUACAUGGUUGAAAACAUAUUGAAAUAAAGAAAUCUAAGAAAAUUUUAGUAGUCUUUGAGGGAAAUAUGAUAUAACUUUCAAUAAUAAUAAGGGAAGUUAGUAGGUCAUUAAUGAAGAUAAUUACUAUUGUGUCUAUGAAUCCCACUGUUCAUAGACUGUGGUAACAGUGUGGGAACUAGAGCAAGGGGUAAUCUACAUUCUGAGGUAGUUAAAUCCAAGGGUAAAUUAAAUGCAGCCUGGGCCAAAAUAGAAAGCAAAGUGAUUACUUGUUCUCUUGAUCUCAUUAAUACUUGCAUCUGCUUAUCAAACUGCUUUUUGCGAGGGCAAAAUGAUCAUGUUCCCUUAAUUCACUUGCAGAGAAGAGUUUGAGUUUGGUUGUUUGGAGUGGGAGAGAAGGAGGAAUGGGUAGUGUAGCCGAUAAGCUUCACAGGUGAGUGGCUUUGUCACCUCAGGUACCUUACCCAGAGUUGAAGGUAAACAGGACCAGUCCUGGAAAAAAAUGGUCAAGUAGGAAAAUAGAAAAUCAUGGGGGCCUUUUGCUUGUGGAACAGUGUGACUGACCUGCACAGUUGGUAAAUUUUCCCAUUGUAGCUUCCAUUCUAAUCUCCACCCUCCUACUGGCUCCAUAGUCUGACUGGCAAGUGGAAUUUGCCAGAAGGUCCUAUCCGGGUUGGGUUAUGGAAAACUAGAAGUUUUCUUUCCCUGCCAGUUCUCUGCUUUAAUCUUUUGAUUGAUUAUUCUUUCUAGUCAGAAGCUCAAGAAGUGUGUGGACUUUAUAAACCAGGAGUUUCAAACUUCUCUGCACACAAAGCCCACAUUUAUCAUUUCCUUUUUUCCUCAUGGAUCUCAUGUGUGAAAGAUUUUGUCUACUCAACAAAUUGCACUUAAUUAACAAACUAUUUUCAGCAGUAAAAGUAAAAGAUAUCUUUAAUGCUGGGCAAAGUUUUUUAGAUAUUGGACCUUUGAUCUAUUGGGUUUUGGUCAAGCUUUCGAGCAUACUUAAAAAUGUGAGGGGAAAAUGGCUGAAGCACAUCCAGAGCAUGGUUGAAAACAUUUUAUUUAUAGGUUAUUUCAUAAUCAUAUGUUUUAUCUUUUCUACUAAAAUGCAUGACAGGU